AAGAUGAGGCAAUGGAAAUGACUUCAUUGUUUUUAACAGCUGAAUAGUAUUAUGUUGUGUAUGCAUCUCACAAUUUUCUUUGCCACUGAUCUGUCAUUGAACAUCUGGGGUGCUUCCAAGUUUUGGCUAUAACGGAGUGUGCUUCUGUGGACAUAGGUGUACAUAUAUCUCUUCUGGUCUAGUCACCAAAACACAGACCAACAGAGUGGAAGUGGGGACCAGCCGGUCUGACAGAAACCACACCCAGUGAUCGCACUGACUGGAGAUGCUGCCUGGUGGCUGGGCGUGUCUGGGGGAGCCGUGAGGAGCUGUGUGGAGUCAUCCAUCUUCUCUGCAGCCUUUCUGCUCUUUGCAUCUCUAAUGGUUUCUAUGAUUUCUUCCCUUGCGACAGACCUCUCUAAUUUCCCUUUAUUGUUCAGUGCUUCCUAGUGCAUUGCUGUUUUUGUAAAGAAAUCCUGAAACCUGAUAUGCCCUACAGAUUCUUGUUCUGCUUUACCUGCAUUUUUAUGAAAUGUUACUAAAGCUGAAUUAAUUUUCAGUGGCCCAAGAUGAAGCAUUUGAAAACCUACCUUCUAAAACUGGAGUUGAGUCAAGCAUUUCAUUUAAACAACAGAAAAGAGCGAGCAAUGCUUUCCUAGUUCCAUUAAUGAAACUGCCAAUGGGAUUUAUUUGUGAGACAAACUAUUUUGGCUUUCAUUAUUCACAGCCUGACUCACUUUAGCUGAUGUCCUCAGUUCAGUGAUAGGUUUCAGUCUGAAUUAAAUCUACAGAAGCUGCUGUUGUGCUGAGUAUGUUGUGGUAAAAGCUGAUAUGUGCAAUG